GCCCUCUGUAGUGUCCACGCUGGCUCCACUUUCUUUCUGUGUUCUACCAUUAGGAUUACUUCCAGCCAACCUCUUGCCUUCAAAGUUUUCAGGUGCCUACUUUGAUGACUUGUUACCCUAGUGCCUUUGAUCUCCACUGUAGAAAAUGCUCUGCUCCAUUUCAGAACAGAUUGCCAUGUGCCCCAUUCUCUGGCCUUUGGAGCAAACCAGCGACAGACCUCACAGAUAGAAAUCCACCAUUGCCCAUUCACAAAGAGAGUUCUCCUAGUAAGGGGAGUGAAUGUGAUGAUCCAUAUUUCCUGGAAAAUCUUCCUAGAGGCCUGAGAUGAUAAAUAUUGCCUGUUCCAGAACAGUUUGCUUUGCAGACCAGGAUGGAUUUUGGAGAGGGAAUAUUAUUCUUGGGAGACAGAAAAAUUGCAACUUGCCAGUUGAUUGACCUCCAUAUGUUCUCUACUCUGCGUUCCACAUUGACUGUGUGCUACACUGUGCGUGUAGAGAUUGCUGACUAUUUACAAGACACUGUUCCAUAUUGGAGACACUUGUGAGCAAAUUUGACAUGUCUGCUUCCUCCUGUCUUUUCUUCUACGUCAUACUCAUUGUGAGUAAUUACGAACAUCCAUAUGGGGGAGCCACUUUGAAGUUCUGCACAAAAACAACACAUGACCCUAAAGAUGAAAAAAAUAACUUCCUUCCAUCACAAAGAGUUCGCGUUUUCCUCUACAUUCUAUUUUGUGAAAAGGAAAUGAGGACUUGAGUGAAUCUUAAGGUUUUUUUUCUCCAAAAUAUGGAUAUUAAAUCAGAAACCAAACAAGAAGCAAAGAACAAAAGCCACAGCAACGCAACAGCAACAAAAAAAACGAGGAGUCUUCUGGUUCAAUCCAACGCAGUAACCUGUAUGAUAGGUAACAAUGGUAAUUAUUCCAUAUAUACUCUUUCUAUUAAUAGAAGAAAUGCAAAGAGGAAGAAGUGGACAUCCACUGGCUUCCCUUUAGCUAUUGUGGCCGUCUAUAAAAAGAGAAUUGGAGAAGAGAAUAAUUAUCUCCUUAUUUGGUUCAGGUAAACAGUCAUUUUUUAUUUUCAUAAAGACACUACAAAACAAAAGGCAUUAUUGCAGAAAACUUGGGGUUGUUACUAAAUUAUCAGAUAAUCUCUUCUACUCUACUUUGCUAUUGAUGAAUGUUUUACCUAUUGUCCCCAAUAAUUGUGUAUGGCUAUGUUCCAAAGGAAAUAAAAAUAAUAUUCGGCUUAUGCAUGCUUUUUAUUAGCCAUAUUCUAAGAAGAUUUUUUUUUCCAAAACAAGUUUAGUAGUCAUGCUUUCUAUUUUUAAUUUGUAUUUAACACUCCAUUUCAGUUCUCACCAUUCAUGUGCUCUGUGUUUACCUGCUUCACUUAGACAGGUCUGUUGCCCUUUCUGUUUUAUAGAAAACGUUGCCACCUGUUCCCAAUGCCAUAACAGCCUGCCAUGGGGUUUAGGUUUACAGCAAUACUCACAAAUUUUCCGGGGCGGGGGGGGAGGUGGCAAAGAAAGUAAAGAAAAAGAAAAAAAAAAUGAACUAUGCCAAAUGAAAUUCAAGUUAACUAAGGGAAAAUUCUCAAGUUAGCAAAGCAUUUUUAUUACACACUGUAAAAUGAAGCUUGAAUUUCCUAAAAAUGUAUUUGUUGCUAUAUCUACUAUUAAUAUUAUUAAGUCUUUUUCUCUUUACAGAGUGCUUGGUCUUUGAGAGUUUUACGUUGACGUCACCUGCAUUAGUGAGAUCAGUCUAGAAAAAGCAGCAUUAAGACCAUUUUACAUUAAAAAGAAACCAACUCAAUUGAAACAUUUCACCAAAAAGAUACAUGAAAAGAUUCUCAAUAUCAUUAUUCACUGGGGAAAUGCAAAUUUCAGCCACAGUGAGAUACUAUUUUACAUCCCAGGAGGGUGAUAGUAAAAAAAAAAAUAGACAAUAAUAAUUGUUGAGGAUAUAGAGAAAUGGGUACUCUCAUACAUCUCCGGUGGAAAUGUAAGAUGGUUCAACACUUUGGGAAACAGUUGGGCAGUUUCUUAACAAGUUAAACAUAAAUUUACCUCAUAACCCAGAAAUUCUACUCCUAGGUAUCAACCCAAGAGAAAUGAAAACUUAUGACCACACAAAAACACAUAUAAGGAUGUUCAUAGCAGCAUUAUUCAUAAUAGGCAAAACAUGGAAACAUUCAAGUGUCCAUUAACUAAUGAAGGACUAAAUAAAACAUGAUAUUUCUACACAAUGGAAUACUACUUGGCAGUAAUAA
ensembl:lncRNA